rnacentral:rRNA from 1 species
UAGGGAAUCUUCCGCAAUGGACGAAAGUCUGACGGAGCAACGCCGCGUGAGUGAAGAAGGAUUUCGGUUCGUAAAACUCUGUUGUUAGGGAAGAAAAAAUGUAUAGUAACUAUAUACAAAAGAGACGGUACCUAACCAGAAAGCCACGGCUAACUACGUGCCAGCAGCCGCGGUAAUACGUAGGUGGCAAGCGUUGUUCGGAAUUAUUAGGCGUAAAGCGCGCGCAGGUGGUUUAGAAAGUCUGAUGUGAAAGCCCACGGCUCAACCGUGGAGGGUCAUUGGAAACUAAUAAACUUGAGUGCAGGAGAGAAAAGUGGAAUUCCUAGUGUAGCGGUGAAAUGCGUAGAGAUUAGGAGGAACACCGGUGGCGAAAGCGGCUUUUUGGCCUGCAACUGACACUGAGGCGCGAAAGCGUGGGGAGCAAACAGG